GUGACCCGUCCCCCCCUUGUCUUGUGUCAUGAUGUAUGUUUGGAUGGGUUGUACUGGAAUUCUAAUUUCCCCUCGGGGAUCAAUAAAGUAUCUUUGAUUGAAUUGAAUUAAUCAAAUUUUACAAAACAUAUGUAAUCCAGGCCUGAAAUUCCUUAUUAUCUUCUAAGGGCAACCUGUACAAGGCAGUGGGGGCACAUUGGAUGGAAGUUUACUUUCUGUUAUUGUCCAUCCAUCCAUCCAUCCAUCCAUUCACCCAUCCAUCCAUCCAUUCAACCCUCCCUCCCCAAGAUUUUUGGGGAUAGAUCUUUGUGGUCACACCAUCUGUAGCAAUGGCUUUUACCAGCAGUGAGAUGGGGGUGUCACUGUUGUUCCUGAUAAUAUUUUGAAGGGCUGAGCUGUCACAGAAAGCACAGCAUAAGCACUGACAAAACGUAUCAAAUGCACAUGUCCAGAACAGAGAUUGUUGAUUUCCCAACUCAAAUCGGUUGAUGCAGGUUUCCAUUUUUUAAUAGUCCCACUUUCACUCUUUUUGCCACAAAAGAUGGAUCUGCAUGGAGUCAUUCAGUGCAGGAAGUGAGAUAAGAAGUCCUCUUCCUUUUUUUGGGUGGAAGAAUUAGUCCCCUCCAGUUUUCAACCACGUCUUCAUCUGUUGGUUUCAUCGGAUUCCACAGAAUGGUGAGAAUCCAUUCUUCUCUUGGCUUCAGCACUGUGGGUAGUCAUGGAUACAGAGUUUGUUUCGGAAACAUUUGCUAAUCCAGAUGUUUCCUCAUAAUUUUUCACUUUUGCAGAACAAAUCCGCAUAUUUCCUUCAAUGAAGGAAAGAUGACGAGAAAUAAACCGAUCAACUCGAAUGGGUAAGUUCUCGUGUUUAAAAAGGCCAUGCUUUACAUUUUUGAAUUCUGCUUCAACAGUGGCUGAGCUUGCUGUGUGACUGGUGCUUUUGAAGAAGGGGAACAUUACUCCUGUCCAAAGUGCCACGUAGGUCAGUCUGGAUCUCGUCAAAAGGAUCCACUUGAUACGCUUCCUUUGUGUCUUCAGCUGGAAUGAUGAUGGAGUCUUCUGUGAUCUGGGUUUUUAGAUAUUUUUUGCACAUCUCUGAUUCGAGAGGGACUCCAGAAAUAUCAUCACCCUCUGCCUCACUGAGGGCCACAACAGUGAUGGCAGUCCCACUGACAGAUCAUCUUUAUGCAGUGUGCCACAUCAACCCUGAUAAAACAAGGAGGGAGUUUUGCAGACUGGUUCCCAAGUAGCACAAGGAAGCAUUCGUUAAUGUAUGUCUUCAGAUCGGGGUAAGUGAAGUGAAGGCCUUCACCAGAGCGCCAGGAAUAGCCAGAGAAAAGUAACUCACAGCUUCCUUUGGUACAGCAGCACCUGUACGUAGCCAUUCUGUCAGCCAUGUUGCAAUUGCAUUAAUGUUGUGUCUCUCUGACAGCAUUUACUGAGCAGUUGUCCCCUGUCAGAAUGCCUUGAUAUAAGAUGUGGCCCGAUGUACCAUUUGGUCUCACCAAUCUUCUCACAACUGAGCCAGUUGCAUCAAACCAAACUACUGAGGGGCAUUUUUUGGACAUUGCCUUGUACACAUGUAGCUGUAUUUGACUCCAAUAGUGGCAGAAGAACUUGUCUAGACCAAUGUUUCUUAUACUACCACCUUGAGCUUUUCGUAGGGUGGCCAAAUUUGGAAGGCGACUUGGCUGACCAUCUCCAACAUCCAUCCAUCAAAUCUGAUGCCUUCACUGACCUCCAUAUAGCCGGCUCCAUCCUGCCCUCACACAGCUCUUUUGAAAUCUGUGCACCAAGGUUUCCAGACAUGAACCUCUUGGAUUGCACAGAGUGCAGGGAGAUAUCUGUGUCUUUGAUGGAACACUGAAGCAGCAUUGGGCUGUUUAAUAUGGCCUUGACACACUUUACAGAAGCCUUUGAUAUCUAUGUAGUUGCUUGUGACAGUUGGAUAAACCUUUGCUCUCUGGAACACAAAUGUACAUGUGCUUUUGAUCUUUUUCCAAAUCAGAUGGUUAAUUACAUGACUCCAAGUGCCAGUCUUCAAAAUCAUAUAUUCCCUUUUGCCAGAUGAUGAAAACUUGUCAUUAUAUUCCACUUUCUCAGGUACAAAUUUGAUCCAUUCCUAAAAAGGAACUUCAAGCUGAAAACCUGAGCAGUCGUCUUGUCCAGGAGAAAUAGAGCCAGAGUCAAUCUCUGUGUCCACACAGCUCUCACGAUCACUUUCCUGCUCACUGAUCUCCAAACAUGACCAGAUGUUGUGUCUGUUUGACUUUACAAAAGUGUACAGUGCUUUUGGAGACAUCUUGUUUUCCAGCUGCUGACUUAAUUCUGUCCAAAUAGUGGCAGCUGGAGUGGCUAUUUUGCAAUUUAGAAGGAUAGCCUCUUUUGAACUGCAGAGAACUGCAAAAAGGGAAUCCCUUUCUAUUGAUGGCUGUCGAGGCAUCUAGUUAAAGAAUGAAAAGGCUUUGUUUAUUAUUAAUCAAAAUGUUAUUCUGGCCUAUAUAAUCUCCCAAAGCCACAAAACAUUGAUAUUUCAGCAUUCUAUCACAACUCAAAAAUUCAGUUUAAAUUGUUCUUCUCUCAGAUCUGUAUGCCAUUUAUGCUGUGUUGUAAUUAUAGUUUGUUUUUAUUUUAUUUUAUUUUAAAUGUUGAAUUUUUUACUACUAUUUGUCUUAUGAAUUUUCAAUUGAAGUAUCUGUUCAACUUUAAAUAUGUGUCUUAGUUCUGGGGAGUCUACUGAUGUGCCUAAAUAUCGAUGACUGAAUAUGAAUGGAAUACCUGCAAGAUGAAGCCUUGCAGAAUCUUUGUUUCAACAUUUUUUAAAAGGCUGGACUUAAAAUGUGAUUGAAUUGUGGGUUUACAGAAAUAUAUAUGCAAGGCAUGCAACCAUGCAUCCUUCUCUACUAAUCGGGGCCUGGAUUGCAGUGGCAGCAGUGAGUCAGUGUUUUAUCUAACAACUCAACAUUAGUUUACUUACCUUGUACAAGUGUAGUAAAAAAGGAUGUAGCCUACGUUUUUCAUAAAAACACACUAUUCGAGGUUUUAAAAGAUACUGGUCAGUGGAAAAUUUUGAACGGGAAGUUUUAAAUACCGCCAAAACAAGGUCAAUGGUGCGGGUCUAUAAAAAGUCUUACAUUUAAUGCCAGAAAUUAGAAAUUAACGCUUGAUACAUUUCAAAUUUUAUUUAAACAAAAUUACUUGGUUAUGAACUUUGAGCCAAUGAUCUACUCGCAUUUCCACUUUUGUCCAGCGUACACAAGCUGAAUUAGAUUAUUAAAACUACCUUUUAAAAAAACAGUAACACAGAACAGUUAUUGAAAUUAUAAACAUUACAUCAUUGUGGUGGCAGACCAUGUCAGGUUUUGAGCAAGGAAUGUGUAGGCUGCAGCUGGUGGUUUUUUCCCCAUUUGUGAGAGGAUAAUGUUGAAUACUGUGUAGAAAGAUAAAUGUAUUGGUGACUUAGUAGACAUAUUUAAAGCAAAUUUCUUUGAGACCAAAAAAGUUUCAUAAUCUUUAUUAAGGAAUAAAGUGCAAAAAAAUAUAACAAGGCAUACAUUUUACAACAUUGGAUAAAAACACAAUUUAACUUGCUUGAUGAAAGAAAAACACGAAAUGAACUGCUUGGUUUGUGGUGAUGAUAUCCAGCGCAGGCCAUAGACGUCAUCGAUUUAAGUCGUCAGUGAUGGCCUGAAAGAAAAUUAUAUAGCUCGUACAUAAAAGCAGCACAAACAGAGCA